UCGCUUUGGCAGCACCUAGCCUAAAACUGAAACAAUACCGAAAAUAUUAGUACAGUUUCUGCAAAAUGAUGACAUACACAUUUGUAAAGCAUUCCAGAGUCAG
rnacentral:snRNA from 1 species